AUUGAACGCUGGCGGCAGGCCUAACACAUGCAAGUCGAACGAGUGGCGGACGUGUGAGUAAUGUCUGGGAAACUGCCUGAUGGAGGGGGAUAACUACUGGAAACGGUAGCUAAUACCGCAUACCAUCAGAUGUGCCCAGAUGGGAUGAGCUAUUUGGUGGGGUAACGGCGCACCAAGGCGACGAUCCCUAGCUGGUCUGAGAGGAUGACCAGCGCAGCUGGAACUGUGACACGGGCCAAUAUCCUACGGGAGGCAGCAGUGGGGAAUAUGGGAGAAUGGGGGAAAGCCUGAUGCAGACUUGCCGGGUGUAUGAAGCAGGAAUUCGGGUUUUAAAGUACUUUCAGCGGGGAGGCGUUACCCGCAGAAGAAGCACCGGCUAACUACGUGCCAGCAGCCGCGGUAAUUC
rnacentral:rRNA from 1 species